rnacentral:rRNA from 1 species
CUGCCCUAUACAGGGGGAUAACAGUUAGAAAUGACUGCUAAUACCGCAUAAGCGCACAGAACCGCAUGGUUCGGUGUGAAAAACUGAGGUGGUAUAGGAUGGACCCGCGUCUGAUUAGCUUGUUGGUGGGGUAACGGCUCACCAAGGCGACGAUCAGUAGCCGGCCUGAGAGGGCGACCGGCCACAUUGGGACUGAGACACGGCCCAAACUCCUACGGGAGGCAGCAGUGGGGAAUAUUGCACAAUGGGGGAAACCCUGAUGCAGCGACGCCGCGUGAGUGAAGAAGUAUUUCGGUAUGUAAAGCUCUAUCAGCAGGGAAGAAAAUGACGGUACCUGACUAAGAAGCCCCGGCUAACUACGUGCCAGCAGCCGCGGUAAUACGUAGGGGGCAAGCGUUAUCCGGAUUUACUGGGUGUAAAGGGAGCGUAGGUGGCAUGGUAAGCCAGAAGUGAAAACCCAGGGCUCAACUCUGGGAUUGCUUUUGGAACUAUCAAGCUAGAGUGCUGGAGGGGUAAGCGGAAUUCCUAGUGUAGCGGUGAAAUGCGUAGAUAUUAGGAGGAACACCGGUGGCGAAGGCGGCUUACUGGACAGAAACUGACACUGAGGCUCGAAAGCGUGGGGAGCAAACAGGAUUAGAUACCCUGGUAGUCCACGCCGUAAACGA